UUAAGUCUCUCGUGAGACUCUCAGGAGCCUGCCAUAUUAAAGUUUAAAUGGCCUUUACACUUGGACAGGGGAGCCAGUGAGCAAUUGCUAUCAAAACAAAGGUGGAGCUGGGCUGUCGGAGAAGACAGUGGCAGGAUCAUGGUAUAAUCCGUCCCACAUGGCCAACCAACUGCUCUGAGGGUGACAGCCUCUUAUUACAAAAAAGAAAAAAAAAAGAAAGACUUUGUUUCAGUUCUUCCAAGGACUUUGCUGAUUCACUCUGAACAGGACUUGCUGCUGGUACUUCAGAGGCCUGACCUAGCAGGGAGGAGCUCAGUUGCCUAUGGUUAACAUUAACCCACUCUAAACAGCCAGCAUGGGACUGAAUCAAUGUAAUAAAGAAGGUGUAAUAGUAAUAGUAUCAGACUGAAAGAAGUGUGAUGAUUUGGUAAGAAACGAGAGAGACAGAGAGACUUUUGUGCUCUUUUCCAAAAAAAAAAAAAAAGUUCUAAGGAUAAAUUAUACAAAGUUUGUAAGACUGUUUCAUUCAUAAGAAUCUACCCAAGAUGGCAGAUAUUUCAUUUAAUGAUAAGUAUUAUUGAUUAAAAAGUUCAAUCUAAAGUAAAAUGCAUUAUUUUACCCAA